rnacentral:tmRNA from 1 species
GGGGGUGACAGGUUUCGACGGACAGUCGCUCUGCCCGGAGAAGCGUGCCGAGAAGCUCAGGUGAUCUCGUUAAACAUCCUGGGAAACAAAUAACUGCCAAAAAGACGCAGUCUG